rnacentral:rRNA from 1 species
AUUGAACGAUGGCGGCAGGCCUAACACAUGCAAGUCGAGCGGAGCGGCGGACGGGAGAGUAAUGCCUAGGAAUCUGCCUGGUAGUGGGGGAUAAUGUCCGGAAACGGGCGCAAAUACCGCAUACUACCCGAUGAGCCUAGUUCGGAUUAGCUAGUUGGUGGGGUAAAGGCCUACCAGGGCGACGACCCGUAACUGGUCUGAGAGGAGGAUCAGUCACACUUGAAAUGAGACACAGUCCAGACGCCUACGAGAGGCAGCAGUGGGGAAUAUUGGACUAUGGGCGAAAGCCAGAACCAGCCAUGCCGCGUGUAUGAGGAAGGUCUUCAGUUUGUAAAGCACUUUAAGUUGGGCGGCGUUACCAUCAGAAUAAGCACCGGCUAACUUCGUGCUAGCAGCCGCGGUAAUUC